rnacentral:rRNA from 1 species
UACGUAGGGGGCGAGCGUUGUCCGGAUUUAUUGGGCGUAAAGAGCGUAUAGGCGGCCAGGUAGGUCUGCUGUGAAAACUCGAGGCUCAACCUCGAGACGUCGGCGGAAACCAUCUGGCUAGAGUCCGGAAGAGGAGAGUGGAAUUCCUGGUGUAGCGGUGAAAUGCGCAGAUAUCAGGAAGAACACGCGUGGCGAAGGCGGCUCUCUGGGACGGUACUGACGCUGAGACGCGAAAGCGUGGGGAGCGAACAGG